GAUGAACGCUGGCGGCGUGCCUAAUACAUGCAAGUCGAGCGAACAGACGAGGAGCUUGCUCCUCUGACGUUAGCGGCGGACGGGUGAGUAACACGUGGAUACCCUCCCUAUCAGACUGGUAUCAUUUCGGGAAACCGGAGCUAAUACCGGAUAAUAUAUUGAACCGCAUGGUUCGAUAGUGAAAGUCGGUUUUGCUGUCACUUCUCGAUGGAUCCGCGCCGCAUUAGCUAGUUGUUAAGGUAACGGCUUACCAAGGCAACGAUGCGUAGCCGACCUGAGAGGGUGAUCGGCCACACUGGAACUGAGACACGGUCAAGACUACUACGGGAGGCAGCAGUAGGGAAUCGUCCGCAAUGGGCGAAAGCUUGACGGAGCAACGCCGCGUGAGUGAUGACGGUCUUCGGAUCGUAAAGCUCUGUUAUUAGGGAAGAACAAAUGUGUAAGUAACUAUGCACGUCUUGACGGUACCUAAUCAGAAAGCAACGGCUAACUACGUG
rnacentral:rRNA from 1 species